AGGAUCAUUGUCGAAAUCUGCAGAGCAGAAUGACCUGCGAACAAGUGAAAAGUAAACGGUUGAAGGGAGGGCACCAUGGUCGCCUUCUCCUCCUCUCAGCUGAUCAUUGGAGGGCGGUUGGGCCUCGUGCCCUCCCCGUACCUCUCGUGGUCCCAAUCAACAUACCUCAGUGCGGAAUGCGCCAAGGAAAACAAACAGAAGGGUGCGCUGCCGCUUGCACCGUAAAUGGUUGUGUGUGGCUUGCGUAUUUUGCUCAAUCUAAUGUUACAACGACUCUCGGCAACGGAUAUCUUGGCUCUCGCAUCGAUGAAGAACGUAGCAAAAUGCGAUAGCUGGUGUGAAUUGCAGAAUCCCGUGAACCAUCGAGUCUUUGAACGCAAGUUGCGCCUGAAGCCGUCAGGCCAAGGGCACGCCUGCCUGGGUGUCCCCCUCCCCCUUGCCCAAAUGCACGCCUCCUCCCACCGUAAAAAUGGGACCGAGUGAUUCGGGCGGAUAAAUGGCCUCCCAUGGCGAACAUCUUCGUGGUUGGCCCAAAAUUAGCACUUGGCUCUUAGGAAGCCACGACAAGCAUUGGCGAAAAACUCAGGUAAUUCCUUGAUCGUUGUCGUGGUGCUGGACUUUGUAGCGUGCUGUAAGAUAACCUCGGUGCUUGCAUCCCAAGAUUGCGACCCCAG
rnacentral:rRNA from 1 species